AAAACUGGUAACUGGGGCUAAGUCGUAACAAGGUAGCCGUACCGGAAGGUGCGGCUGGAACACCUCCUUUCUAGAG
rnacentral:rRNA from 1 species